rnacentral:rRNA from 1 species
GCAGCAGUAGGGAAUUUUCCACAAUGGGCGAAAGCCUGAUGGAGCAACGCCGCGUGCAGGAUGAAGGCCUUCGGGUUGUAAACUGCUUUUAUAUGUGAAGAUUAUGACGGUAGCAUAUGAAUAAGGAUCGGCUAACUCCGUGCCAGCAGCCGCGGUCAUACGGAGGAUCCAAGCGUUAUCCGGAAUUACUGGGCGUAAAGAGUUGCGUAGGCGGCAUUGUAAGUAGGUAGUGAAAUCCUGGGGCUCAACCCUUUAAACAUUAUCUAAACUGCAAAGCUAGAAUAUAGAAGAGGUAGCUGGAAUUCCUAGUGUAGGAGUGAAAUCCGUAGAUAUUAGGAGGAACACCGAUGGCGUAGGCAGGCUACUGGUCUAUUAUUGACGCUAAGGCACGAAAGCGUGGGGAGCAAACGGGAUUAGAUAC